rnacentral:rRNA from 1 species
GUGGGGAAUAUUGGACAAUGGGCGCAAGCCUGAUCCAGCAAUGCCGCGUGGGUGAAGAAGGCCUUCGGGUUGUAAAGCCCUUUUGUACGGGAAGAAAUCAUACGGGUUAAUACCCUGGGUGGAUGACGGUACCGUAAGAAUAAGCACCGGCUAACUUCGUGCCAGCAGCCGCGGUAAUACGAAGGGUGCAAGCGUUAAUCGGAAUUACUGGGCGUAAAGCGUGCGUAGGUGGUUGUUCAAGUCUGUCGUGAAAGCCCUGGGCUCAACCUGGGAAUGGCGAUGGAAACUGGGCGACUAGAGUGCGGUAGAGGAUGGCGGAAUUCCCGGUGUAGCGGUGAAAUGCGUAGAGAUCGGGAGGAACAUCCGUGGCGAAGGCGGCCAUCUGGACCAGCACUGACACUGAGGCACGAAAGCGUGGGGAGCAAACAGGAUUAGAAACCCGUGUAGUCC